UAGAAUAACGUAGGUGAGGGAAGUGGGCAAGUUCGAUUCGUAGCCUCAGAAAAGGAUUGGCUUUAGUGACGGGGUCGAUUAGCCUGUCGCCUGAUGCUUGUGUGGAUCUAUCCAUGAUCGACAUCAGAACAGUACAUAGCAUGUGUAUGUAUAUUCUGUAAUGGGCUGUAUAUGUGUAUGUGUGUGAUGAUGUUGGACUAGUAAUAAGACCGUUUCGCAGAUGUUUAUAGGUGUGUGCUUUGCUUAUGAACUGAGCAUCCUGAUCGAUCAUUGUAACGGUCGAACUGGAACUGGUAUGGACUCGAAAAAUACGACUGUCUAAUUUGAACAGAAGAGAUAGAUGGUUUUUGCAAACGUUUACGUGUCUCUGAUUUUUGCCCAGUGCUCUGGAUGUCGAAUCGUAGUAAUCUGAGUAAGCGCGGAUAAAUAGCCGAGUAACAAUGACUCUCUUAAGGUAGCCAAAUGCCUCGUCAGCUAACUACUGAUGCGCAUGAAUGGAUUAAGGAGAUUCCCACUGUCCUUAACUGCUAUCUAGCAAAAACACAAGGAAGAGGAUGGGAUUGG
rnacentral:ncRNA from 1 species